rnacentral:lncRNA from 1 species
AUCUGAGCUGGCAAGGCUUCCUUGUGGGGAAGUCUUAGCUCAGCACAUGGGAGUGUUUCCAAAAGUAGGGUCUGGCUCUGGCUUCGGCAUGUGCAGUUUAAACCCAUCUCUAAUAGCUCCCUGUCUGGGGUGUCCAGCACCUUAAUCCACAGAUUUUUAAUACCAAAACAUGCCACCGCGAUCAUCUGGUUGGACUUUCUGCAUAAACCAGCUUUACUUGGUGAGAAGCUCCCUGUGGUCAAGAGGGAUGUCUGCUCCUCAGGGCAGAGAAGCUGCAGAGAGAGGAGGUGACGCAGGCUUCUUGCUUGUGCAAAUGAACUGUUUCUGCAGGAUUACAAGGUGUUGAAGCUGUGUGGAAAUCCUUACCCGAUUUAUAUUCCAUAUGGAAAUUAAGGACCAGAUCCUUUCUUCAGAGGAGUUGCUUCGAUUUACACCCACUGGGAAUAUGACACAAUGCUCUUUCCAUAGAGAACAAACAGAAUAUCAUAGGAUCAUAAAAUCUCAGAGAAACCCCGCCAAAGCCCAGAGGCAACUUAUUUCCACACGACAAAGAAACAGAUUGACUGCUACUUGAUUCCUGCUCUGUAUUGAUAGUGAUGAUAGAAAUACACCACACAUGCAGAAGCAU